rnacentral:RNase_P_RNA from 1 species
GGAGCAGGCUGGGCAGUCGCUUCCUGAAAGGGAAGAGGAAAGUCCGAACACCGCAAGGCAACGAGCCGGAUAACGUCCGGGCAUCUCGAUUUUUCGGGAUGACGACAAGUGCAACAGAGAAUAGACCAGCCCCGAUUCGUCGGAGUGAUGGGUGAAAAGGUGAGGUAAGAGCUCACCGGCGCGGUUGGUAACAAUCGCGGCCAGGUAAACUCCUCGUGGUGCAAGACCAAAUAGGGAAAUGCUGUUGAGCUGCCGGCUCACAGUCCCGAUUCGUCGGGACAGCCUUUCCGGGUAGGUCGCUCGAACGAUUCGGUAACGGAUCGUCUAGAUGAAUGAUUGCCGUCCCGAUUCGUCGGGAUUACAAAAUUCGGCUUACAGGCCGCUCCAUUG